rnacentral:misc_RNA from 1 species
AACGCACGAGACCUGCGGACCUGCGGAGGGAUCAUUCACAAUGUACUCUUUUUUUUUCUCCUUUUGUACAUAUUGUCUUUGUUAUUUCAAAGUAUUGAGUAAGAAAGCAAUAUUAAGGAGGAGGGUGAGGGUGAUAACCGAACCCAAAAUUUAUGUGUACUGUAAUCAGGCGGAUGUGUUGUCAUUUAUGAACAACCCCCCUGAUCUAAUUUUCUUUUAUUAAUCUAUAAUAAGUUUAAC